UAGGGGCGAGGUGGCUAGUCUAGGGGCUAGUCUAGGGGCUAGGUGGCUAGUCUAGGGGCUAGGUGGCUAGUGGCUACCGGCUAGUGGCUAGUCUAGGGUCUAGUGGCUACCGGCUACUGACUCCUGGCUAGUGGUUGGGCUGUGUGAAUGUCUGGGCUUAACAUGGAGAAGCACUGAGGUUGUGUGUGAGUGACACAACAACAGAGCGUCCACUGUAUAGUGGAAACCCUGGAAGUAAGGUAUUUGUUUUAGCAGUAGGCUUCACUCCAACAACAGCAGCAGAGAAGGCAGGAAACUCAUGGAGGCCUAUUGUCCUCUAACUUUAAUUCUUCCUGUUCCAGUCACCAAUUGCUUUCCUGUAUAGCCCUGCUUACAGCUACUGAUACCGCCAGACAGUAAAGACGGACUUUGCAAAUGGAAAUAAUUUUACUGCAUCGUUGUUUUAAUAGUAGAAGACACACAUACAGUGGGGAGAACAAGUAUUUGAUACACUGUUGAUUUUCCUACUUAAAUUACAGACCUCUACAUGCUUUGUAAGUAGGAAAACCUGCAAAAUCGGCAGUGUAUGUAUGUAUACACACACACACACACACACACACACACACACACACACACACACACACACACACACACUAGGGUAGGGUGUUUGGCUUCUGUGGCUCUCACCACCUCACACUGAGAUGUGAGGACCAGACUGGAUACAUGAGGUGGACCAACCCUCUACGGAUGAAUAGAGGUUGACUUGAGGAACGCUUAUGCUGUUCAACACGGUGUACAGAAUACCAGGUUAUGCUGUUCAACACGGUGUACAGAAUACCAGGUUAUGUUGUUCAACACAGUGUACAGAAUACCAGGUUAUGUUGUUCAACACAGUGUACAGAAUACCAGGUUAUGUUGUUCAACACGGUGUACAGAAUACCAGGUUAUGUUGUUCAACACGGUGUACAGAAUACCAGGUUAUGUUGUUCAACACGGUGUACAGAAUACCAGGUUAUGUUGUUCAACACGGUGUACAGAAUACCAGGUUAUGCUGUUCAACACAGUGUACAGAAUACCAGGUUAUGCUGUUCAACACAGUGUACAGAAUACCAGGUUAUGCUGUUCAACACAGUGUACAGAAUACCAGGUUAUGUUGUUCAACACAGUGUACAGAAUACCAGGUUAUGUUGUUCAACACAGUGUACAGAAUACCAGGUUAUGUUGUUCAACACAGUGUACAGAAUACCAGGUUAUGCUGUUCAACACAGUG